CCUAUCGUCAGAAGUUGCUGCACGAUCCUGAGAACUCAGCCGACAUCCUAUCUGUUUUUCCUCAUUUCUUGGACAUUCCAGGUUUGAUUGAUCAAGAUUUCAGGAGUCUUUUUGGUGACGCAACCUCUGCAAAGAUGUUGGAAAGUGGACCACCAACUUUCAAGCAAAGGUUGUUACUCAGUGUCGUGGACUUACACUGACUGGAGAUGUACAAGACCUCAUCCAAAAUGCUGAAGCCACUGAAGUAGAUGAUGGCUGGGACAGUGACAUGUCAUCAAUGCUGUUGCUGGUUCACCUUCUGCCACCUUCAAGCCAAGGCCGAAAAAGACCAGGGAAAAUCUCAGCCAGACAAGCAUGCGAUAGUCUUGUAAAAUUCAUCAAG